rnacentral:lncRNA from 1 species
CAAGCAGACUCUCAGGGAGCAGGACCCAGGCAACAGUGGUUGUAAAGCUCCCAGGUGAUGCUGUCUGGCCAAGGAUAAGGACCGCUGGCGGUGCUCCUUGGACCAAUGGAGAUGAGAUGGUGGCAGCCGCAUGGGAUCCUUCAGGAGGCCAAGAAGUUGUUCGGCCAGCCCUUUAGGUGGCCCACCUCCAUGGCUGCUAGCCCUUUUCCAGAUAGCUCUACUUUUUAUGUAAUGGGGUCAGCCUGCCUAUAAACUUAUUGGCAGCAUCUGAACUCCCAGUCUGGGCUGCUCAAGACAGAUGCUGGAGUGCAGAUAUUUGCUUUAAAGGAGGAGGUACAAUAUUGUCAAGAGAGCUGUGUUCUGCAAGUUGCCGAAAAGACGGCCAACUGGUAGACCUGCAUUUGCUUCCCUCUUCAGGGCUCGGGUUGAAGCAUGUAAAUGUUGUUGCAGGUGGGUAAAGGUGAGCACGGAUUGAAAUCUGUACAAUGCAAAAACAUGCAAAUUGGGCUUUAAAAUAAAAGACCAAUUUUUAUAUCAAAUCUUUACCUUGAGGUCGGUGCCCCAGGCAACUGCAGACGAGCAGCCCGACAUCUAGCAGACCUGUUUAGAUCUGGGCUCUGGAUUUAGCAAAAUUUCUUCGCUUACCAAUCAUGUGCCCUUGCCAGGGUAGCUGAUAAAGCCUCAGAGAAGGGACAUUUUCUCGCAUGGUGCCAGGCAGAGUGCACACCCAGCGCAUAGGAAUUCUCCCCCCUUCCUUCUCUGCCCCAUUUUAAAGAGGGGGGUGUCUCUUGCUCUCACUUGCCCUUCGGCCCAAUGGUAAGUGAAGUAAAAACCCCUCAAGAGCGGAAGGGCUGGUCUAGGCAGAGUGUUAUUUUUCACAGGCUGAGAGGAAAGGGACCAUCUGGCUUCGCCCUGGGAACCAGCGACUGCCCACUGCCUGGUGUGAGAUCUUCUCACUAGACCACUGGGUCUGACAUGGUAAGAGGAAGCCGAUGGUUAAUUUUCUGACCAAGAUGCUCAGCUAAAAGGCCACAGAAGUGGCUCUAAUACUUUUGCCACUCCUGGUGUAUUUUGGUUUCAGAGGCAAUGACUUCACCUCACAAGGUGACCAUUUCCUAUUUGGGGUCUUUUUCAAGGGUAUGGAGAAAUACCCCCUAAAGGGUGUGUGAGUCUCUCUUGUGCCCAGUGGGCUUCAAGGCAAGAGGGCAGCAUAAAUCCCUUUGGUGAGAGAAGGCAUUUAAAAUGACUCUUGGACAACAGUUCCUGGCUUAGUUGCUUUGAUCUCACUUUCCUUUGGCUUGAGUUGCAUCCCAACUAAGCUGAAAAGCCUGGGCCCCCUUUUUACUUCCUCCCCAAAUUGUGAGAUUCGGUUUUCCUUUUAAAAAAAAAAAUCAUGGAUAACUUAAUACAGUUAAUUACAGUAAAGCCAUCUGUCCGGUAACUCGUCCACCCGCUGUUUCUUAGACAAAGACCCUGAAACAUUCAGCCUUUAUCUCUUUAGAGGAAGAAUUUGUUUCUCCCGCCGGUACUCCGCUGCCCUCGGGCCUUCCUUCCACCUCGCUGCCAAAAGGGAUUUGGACCCUCGAUGCAGCCUUUCAAAUCUCAAGGAAUGCGAAUUACAUUUCCAGAAGCGUAGGGCUUUUCCGGGGUCGCGCUGAUUUGGGACAUUCCAAGCCCCGGGCGGCGAGUCCCGCCCUCCGGCCCCGCCCCCCCGCGCUCCGGCCCCGCCCUCAAGCCCCACGACUCCCAAAGGCAGGGGCGGGGCCGCGCUCACGUGGUCUCCUUGAGGCGGGGAGGCUUGGCCCUCCAACUUUUGGGUUAAAUUUCAACCCGAUUCUCUGUGUGGGGCGGCCAGACAGGUCACUGCCUGAUUAGAGACCUUGUUUAGGCUUGGAGGUGGUCUCCAUAAACAGAUCAGAAACGCAGACGAUGGGCGGCGGUAUCACUGGCAAUAGGAAAAUGGCAGGUUCUUGGGAGCUUUGGACAUUUUCCUUUCUCCUGCGCCAGGCAUCGCUUUAACUCUUCUCGAGUUUCUGCCUGGCUGAAAGUGAGGGGCAGUUCACAUUGUUUUUCUGAAGUGAAAUCUAAAAUGUGGCUCAAAUGAACCUUUCUACAAAACAGAAACAGACUCACAGGUAUGGAGAAUAGACUUGUGGUUGCCAGGGGGCAGGGUGAAGGCAGAGGGAUGGACAGGGAGUUUGGGGGUAGUAGAUGCAAACUGUGACGUUUGAAAUGGAUAAACAAGAUUCUACUGUAUAACACGGGAAACUGUAUCCAGUUUCCUGGGAUAAACUGUAACAGAAAGGAAUUUUUUUUUUUAGGGCUGCACUCGCGGCAUAUAGAGAUUCCCAGGCUAGGGGUCUAAUCAGAGCUACAGCUGCGGGCCUACAUCACAGCCACAGCAAAACCAGUUCUGAGCGCUUCUACGACCUACACCACAGCUCAUUGGCAGUGCCGGAUUCUUAACCCACUGAGUGAGGCCAGGGAUCGAACCCGCAACUUCAUGGUUCCUAGUCAGAUUCAUUUCCGCUGCACCACGAUGGGAACUCCUGGAAUUUUGAUAAAUUAUUUCUUUUUAAAAAUUAAAAAAAAAAAAGUGACCUUUACUUAAACUAAAUAGAUGCUGUCCCUUUUGGAAGAAAACACCAGCAAGGAGAUAGAGAGGCAGAGGGUUCUGUCUCAGAGAGGCGCCUGUUAUUUGGGGCACGUAGACCCAUCUACGAAGGAGUCUCCCCCAACUCCUCUAGCCUAAGUCCCUUCCCCCAUUCCUAGCAUGUCUGCUGGGGCUGCCCCUUGGGGACACUCCUCUUCUUGGCCCCCACUCUGUGCCUGCCCUGUUUCUCUAGCUGGGAGUGGUCAUUGUCACUUCCUGGGAGGCCUUGCUCGUCCCAUAGGAAACCUCUUUCCUGAGAGCAGCCUAGAGUGAGCCUCUUGUGAACAGGCUUGUCAAGACCCUGUAAAAACCUGACCAAAGCCUUGGCCCAGCCUGGCCCUUUCUGAAAUAGAUAAUUCGCGUUUUUUCCCUCUGACUGGGCCUGGUGAUGCUAAUAAAAACGAACGCCUAGGGAGCAUUUCAUGCUCACUCACAGAGUCCCAAGCUCAUUUUGCAGAUAAGGAAACACACCUGCAAAAUCGAGCACAGUGAGCUUGCCUGAAGUUGCACAGCUAGUACAUGGCAGCACCGGAAUUCACACUUAGCCUGCUCCAGAUCUCCUGUUUCUAACCUCGAGUCUAGACUAAUGGGUUUCCUUCCGGGGCUCAGCCCUCUCCCUUUGCUUGGAGGUCUGCAGCCAACUCCAUGAGGAUUUUCUUUUCUUCUCUCCUGAGUCUGAGGCUGAGGUCUUGCCACACUAGGGAGAAACGUUGGUUUCCAUGCGCAUUCCUAAGUUUGCAUUGGUAGUCAGUUUCCAUUUUGUGUCCUUUUCUUUUCCGUGGGCCAUUUUUGUCAUGUUUAAUAACUGUCUGUUAGUAACCGGUUCUUUCAUAAAACUUUUCACAUCAAUAAUGUUAGAAAAAUAGUCUUUGUCAGCAUCCAUAUCCUGGUUUGGGUUUGGACAAGUGAUGUGUGGCCAGAGAGCAUAUUCUGGAAUUGGACCUGUCUGUUUAAAUAUAGACCCCACCACGGACUGGCAACGUAUCU